rnacentral:rRNA from 1 species
AGAGUUUGAUCCUGGCUCAGAUUGAACGCUGGCGGCAUGCCUUACACAUGCAAGUCGAACGGUAACGCGGGGGCAACCCUGGCGACGAGUGGCGAACGGGUGAGUAAUACAUCGGAACAUAUCCAGUAGCGGGGGAUAACCUAUCGAAAGAUGGACUAAUACCGCAUACGAUCUACGGAUGAAAGCAGGGGACCGCAAGGCCCUGCACUAUUGGAGUGGCCGAUGUCGGAUUAGCUAGUUGGUGGGUAAAAGCUUACCAAGGCGACGAUCCGUAGCUGGUCUGAGAGGACGAUCAGCCACACUGGAACUGAGACACGGUCCAGACUCCUACGGGAGGCAGCAGUGGGGAAUUUUGGACAAUGGGCGCAAGCCUGACCCAGCCAUGCCGCGUGAGUGAAGAAGGCCUUCGGGUUGUAAAGCUCUUUCGGUGAAGACGAAACGGUUCAUGCUAAUAACGUGAACUAAUGACGGUACUCACAGAAGAAGCACCGGCUAACUACGUGCCAGCAGCCGCGGUAAUACGUAGGGUGCAGGCGUUAAUCGGAAUUACUGGGCGUAAAGCGUGCGCAGGCGGUUUGCUAAGACAGGUGUGAAAUCCCCGGGCUUAACCUGGGAAUUGCGCUUGUAACUGGCAAGCUAGAGUGUGGCAGAGGGGGGUGGAACUCCACGUGUAGCAGUGAAAUGCGUAGAUAUGUGGAGGAACACCGAUGGCGAAGGCAGCCCCCUGGGUUAACACUGACGCUCAUGCACGAAAGCGUGGGGAGCAAACAGGAUUAGAUACCCUGGUAGUCCACGCCCUAAACUAUGUCAACUAGUUGUCGGGGAAGAAAUUCCUUGGUAACGAAGCUAACGCGUGAAGUUGACCGCCUGGGGAGUACGGCCGCAAGGUUAAAACUCAAAGGAAUUGACGGGGACCCGCACAAGCGGUGGAUUAUGUGGAUUAAUUCGAUGCAACGCGAAAAACCUUACCUACCCUUGACAUGCUAGGAAGCCCGCAGAGAUGUGGGUGUGCCCGAAAGGGAACCUAGACACAGGUGCUGCAUGGCUGUCGUCAGCUCGUGUCGUGAGAUGUUGGGUUAAGUCCCGCAACGAGCGCAACCCUUGCCAUUAGUUGCUACAUUCAGUUGGGCACUCUAAUGGGACCGCCGGUGACAAACCGGAGGAAGGUGGGGAUGACGUCAAGUCCUCAUGGCCCUUAUGGGUAGGGCUUCACACGUAAUACAAUGGUCGGUACAGAGGGCUGCCAACCCGCAAGGGGGAGCUAAUCCCAGAAAGCCGAUCGUAGUCCGGAUUGUAGUCUGCAACUCGACUGCAUGAAGCCGGAAUCGCUAGUAAUCGCGGAUCAGCAUGUCGCGGUGAAUACGUUCCCGGGUCUUGUACACACCGCCCGUCACACCAUGGGAGUGGGUUCCACCAGAAGUAGUUAGCCUAACCGCAAGGAGGGCGAUUACCACGGUGAGAUUCAUGACUGGGGUGAAGUCGUAACAAGGUA